rnacentral:rRNA from 1 species
AGAUGAGCCGCGUAGAUUAGCUGUUGGUGAGGUAAUGGCUCACCAAGGCAACGAUCUAUAGCUGGUUUGAGAGGAUGAUCAGCCACACUGGGACUGAGACACGGCCCAG